rnacentral:rRNA from 1 species
GACGAACGCUGGCGGCGUGCUUAACACAUGCCAGUCGAACGGAAAGUCCCUGCUUUUGCGGUGUGCUCGAGUGGCUAAUUUGUGAUUAACACGUGAUUAAUCUGCCCUUGAUUUUGUGAUAACUUCAGGAAACUGGGGCUAAUACCGGAUAGUAGCUCCUGCUUCAUGGUGGGGGUUGGAAAGUUUCGGCGGUUGGGGAUGGAAUCGCGGCUUAUCAGCUUGUUGUUGGGGUAGUGGAUUACCAAGGCUUUGACGGGUAGCCGGGCUGAGAGGGGGGCAGGACAGAUUAGGACGGAGAUGAGGCACAGACUCAUACGGGAGGCAACAGAGGGGAAUAGUGCACAGUGGGCGGAAGGAUGAUGCAGCAAAGCCGCGUGCGGGAUGACGGGAUUCGGGUUGUAAAGCGAUGUCGCAUGUGAAGAAGAGUGAGUGACGGUAAUGGGUAAAGAAGCACCGGCUAACUACGUG